AUUGAACGCUGGCGGCAGGCCUAACACAUGCAAGUCGAACGAGGGGCGGACGGGUGAGUAAUGUCUGGGAAACUGCCUGAUGGAGGGGGAUAACUACUGGAAACGGUAGCUAAUACCGCAUACCAUCGGAUGAGCCCAGAUGGGAUUAGCUUGUUGGUGGGGUAACGGCUCACCAAUGCGACGAUCCCUAGCUGGUCUGAGAGGAUGACCCGCCACAAUGGGACUGAGACACGGUCCAGACGCCUACGGGAGUCAGCAGUGGGGAAUAUUGCACAAUGGGGUGAAGCCUGAUGCAGCCAUGUCGCGUGUAUGAAGAAGGCCUGCGGGUUUUAAAGUUCUUUCAGUAGGGAGGCGUUACCCGCAGAAGAAGCACCGGCUAACUCCGUGCCAGCAGCCGCGGUAAUUC
rnacentral:rRNA from 1 species